rnacentral:rRNA from 1 species
AUUGAACGCUGGUGGCAGGCCUAACACAUGCAAGUCGAGCGGAGCGGCGGACGGGUGUGUAAUGCCUAGGAAUCUGCCUGGUAGUGGGGGAUAAAGUCAGGAAACGGGCGCUAAUACCGCAUACUAACAGAUGAACCUAGGUCGGUUUAGCUAGUUGGUGGGGUAAAGGCCUACCAAGGCGACGAUCCGGAACUGGUCUGAGAGGAUGAUCAGUCAAACUGUAACUGAGACACGGUCCAGACUCCUACGGGAGGCAGCAGUGGGGAAUAGUGGACAAUGGGAGAAAGCCUGAUCCAGCCAUGCCGCGUGUGAGAAGAAGGUCUUCGGAUUGUAAAGCACUUUAAGUUGGGAGGCGUUACCAACAGAAUAAGCACCGGCUAACUUCGUGCCAGCAGCCGCGGUAAUUC